ensembl:lncRNA
CAAGCAUGGAUUUGUUCUAGAAGGCAUCAAUUACUACGGCAACCACGCAGCCCAGAUUUUCCAAGACAGUCUCCAUCCCUUGGAAUCUGAUUCUUUUCAGUGGCGGUGAUCUGUUAAAUGUCUGAAUGCAGUUUAAUGUUAUGGAGUUAUCUGAUGUGGCACAUAAAUUAAUCUACAAAUCCAAACAAAUGCUUUAUCACGCCGUAACUCGUUUUUUUUAAUGUGGUCUUUUCCUACAGGUUAAGAACUAGUUAUGAAGAUAAGAACUCAGGAAGGUGGGUGUCAGAAGUGGGGCCGCUGGAAGACUGUGAAGGGGAGAGAUAGAUGUAAGCUUCCUGGUUGGAGAGCUUGACAUGUUUUAUUGGACGUAAAUCCAAGGGGCCAGUUCUCAGGUUUUUGCUAUAUUCGCUAAUUUUGGAUAUACUCAGGGGAUAAGAGGAAACAGACUUUGAUCUAGGAUUGGAAUUUUGAUGGGCAUGAUGGAAGUCGGAGUAAAAAAAAAUCCAGCUCCAGAGGGAAGGUGAAUGUUGGAGGGAUGAGGCUGGGAGCCCUGGAGGUGAGCUGAAAAAUGGAUCCGUCUGGACUGGCGUCUCCUCUGUCUGGACUGGCGUCUCCUCUACACCUCUUCGCUGCUGACAUUUUGGAGGGCUUUGCACUUUGGUUUUAAAAGGAAGCUGUUCUGUGCUCUUUACAGCUGCCUGCAUGCUGCUGUAGGAGAUGGCAUCUCAAAACACUUGCCUCCAACUCUACUUUUCAGUUGUAAUACAUUCUCCAAGUAUGCUUUGUGGACCACCAGCAUCUGAAGUUGUGGGGGGACUGUAAAUUACAGAAUCCCAGCUUCCUCUUCAGACGGACCAUCUGAGUCUGAAUUGGGUCUCAGGACCUAGGGAUCUGCAUUUUCAACACACACCUAAUUGAUUUUUAAGCACACCGAAGUUUGGGCACCACUGCUGCAGAAUCUCAGAAGGUGGCGCUGAGCUCUGAACCCAGUCUUACCUCCGCAGUUCCUGAACGGGGAGGAUCAUCUCAGAGCUCCCAGGCCACAUGCCUGAAUUCCUUCUGCUUGAGUGGCACAGGCAUGUGCAUGCCUUUAUAAGGCCAACGCCCUGCCAAGAGAUAACCACAGGUGGACAUGACCCCUGUGAGACUCAGAAGACGUUCACCAGUUCCAAAGAUAGCAACCCCGAACCCGUGCUGAGGACUCUGUCUGUCUAUGUGUGCCUGGCUGCACAGCCUUAUACAGAGAGCGGAGGCCCAGAAGGAUCUGCGGGAGAACGGCGUGUCCAUCGCGCUCCCGAAAUGUGCCAUGUUCUCAGAGCUCUGAUAGGUGAGGUCACCAUGUGUCCACGUCUGUCUCUGGAAGUUGCCCAGCCCAGGGUGGUGAAGAGCCUAUAAAUGCUUGUAGCAGGCAGAGCUGGGCAGCUGAGCUGUAACUUUUGCAAAUGGGAGCAUACAUCUGGAAUGGUUUCCUGUGGCAACAGGACUGUCGUUUGUAUUAUCGACAGAUCAAAGGAUAAACCACAGAACCUCUUUGGGUUCUGGCGGAGAUUUACCAGCGGCACCGUGAUAGAGUUUCACUCCCAAGGCUUUCUGGAGAGGGAGCAUGGUAGAAAGGAAGGAAGCUUUGUUGUCACAGAGAGGAGUUCAAAGAGAUGCUGCUUCCAGACUUGGGACGCACACCGCUAAGCUGUUCUGCUCACAGCUGUCGGAGCAUGGUUCUCUCUGCAAAAACAGGCAGUUUCAACAAUUCUAUACGCAUUGUAUUUAUUCAGCAAAUGGCAAGCUGGUGUCCCACCUAGUGGUCAGCGGGAGGUAGCCCAUUUCAAAAAGAGAUGGGAAGACAUUUCAUAUUAUCUUCUGUGGGGCAGAAGCCUGAAGAACUGUUAUCGGUUCAUCCUUUUCUCUCCACUUACAGAGGCCCGGGCAAGAAGCAGAACUGCUGGAUCGAAGAGCAAGUAUUUUCUUUCCAGUGAUUGUACCAAAUUUCCCUUCAAAUACUCGUGUGUAAGUGGUCGCUUUGCUCUAUAGUUGCAUUGGUAAUUUUGGACGAUGACGAAUAAGGCUGCUGUGAACAUUCUGGAACAUGUCUUUUGGUGCACACGGAGAGGAAAUGCUAGGCCCUCGGGCAAGCACAUGUUCAUCUUUAGUCAUGUACUUAGUACUUUCGUACGGUUUAGUCCUUCUUGUGCUGAUGCUGUGGGUGCCCACAGAUCCUCCCUCCACGACCAAACACUGGUUCCCCACCUGUCAGGACGUUGGCUGCUGAUGGCUCUCAGCUGAGACCCCUCCCCAGGCACUGCACUCAGCUGAAGGGAGCUGCCUGGCCAGACAAUGUACC